GAUGAACGCUGGCGGCGUGCCUAAUACAUGCAAGUCGAGCGAACAGACGAGGAGCUUGCUCCGCUGACGUUAGCGGCGGACGGGUGAGUAACACGUGGAUAACCUACCUAUAAGACUGGGAUAACUUCGGGAAACCGGAGCUAAUACCGGAUAAUAUAUUGAUCCGCAUGGUUCAAUAGUGAAAGACGGUUUUGCUGUCACUUAUAGAUGGAUCCGCGCCGCAUUAGCUAGUUGGUAAGGUAACGGCCUACCAAGGCGACGAUGCGUAGCCGACGGGAGAGGGUGAUCGGCCACACUGGAACUGAGACACGGUCCAGACUCCUACGGGAGGCAGCAGUAGGGAAUCUUCCGCAAUGGGCGAAAGCCUGACGGAGCAACGCCGCGUGAGUGAUGAAGGUCUUCGGAUCGUAAAACUCUGUUAUUAGGGAAGAACAAAUGUGUAAGUAACUAUGCACGUCUUGACGGUACCUAAUCAGAAAGCAACGGCUAACUACGUG
rnacentral:rRNA from 1 species